rnacentral:lncRNA from 13 species
GUGUGACCUAAUUCUUCCAGGACUCUGGGCAGGAACCCGGGUGCCGAGGGGCAGGGCCUGGACGCUGCUGUGAGGCCUGCAGAAACCAGGCUCCCUCGCCAGGAGUGGCCAGAGGCGGCCUGAGCAAAAUGAGGGGCGCCAGCUCCCGCCACGAAGGGGGUUCGGGUGAAGGGAACAGUCCUGUAUCAUCUGGGCCUGUCCAGGAAAUAAAAAACGGUGAGUUAAAAUGAGGAACUGUUGGAUCUGUGUCUUUUCUGAGACCUGCCACCUCUUUCUCUGCUUUGGGUAAAAGGAACGUUGGUACCGUUUCCAACUUCGCAGAGGUUUAGCUGGUCUGAACCAGGGGAGGGAUAGAGCGAUUAAAGAAACCCAUUUCAUCAGAGCAAGCGGCUCUUCACCCAGGUGCCACCACUUUUGUACUUUAAGAUAAUCACCAGGAAGCUCAGAGAGCUCAAGUGACUCACCAAAACUCAAACUACUGAUCUGUGUUUCCCAAUCAGCCUUCAAUCCCUAAGGACGGAGAGUUGGUGGCAGCCAGGAGUAGGGUGAUUUGUGGAAUGAGUGCUUCUUCCCUUCAACUUGUUCCCACCCAGCACAAGGACGUGGUCUUGUACCCUCUUCACAGUGCAUUCAGUCAUUGUCCCUGUCUCCCAGUUCUAGAAACUCAAGGUGACUGCCUAAAUUUUGGCUGA